rnacentral:rRNA from 1 species
UACGGAGGGUGCAAGCGUUAUCCGGAUUCACUGGGUUUAAAGGGUGCGUAGGUGGGGUGGUAAGUCAGUGGUGAAAUCUCCAGGCUUAACUUGGAAACUGCCACUGAUACUAUCAUUCUUGAAUACCGUGGAGAUGAGCGGAAUAUGUCAUGUAGCGGUGAAAUGCUUAGAUAUGACAUAGAACACCAAUUGCGAAGGCAGCUCGUUACACGAAUAUUGACACUCAGGCACGAAAGCGUGGGGAUCAAACAGG